UUUAAUAUUUCUUUAAAUAAAUAUAUAUAAUUUUAAUUAUUAUUUUUCUUUAUUUAUUUUCUUUCUUUUAUUCUUCAAUUCAUUUUCUUUCUUCUUCCUCAAUUCUUCUUUUUCUUCUUCUUCUUCUUCUUCUUCCUCACAAACGCUGACAUCAAUGACAUCCAAGAACUCAUCAAUGACAUUUUUCUUUCUUCCUCUUCAAUUCUUCUUCUUCACAAACAAUGACACCAAGAACUCAUCAAUGAUAUUUCUUUUUCUUUUUCUUCUUCAUUUUCUUUUUUCUUUUUCUUAUUCAUUUUCUUUCUUCUCUUCAACAAAACACAAAAAACCAUGGAUGCUCCCCCCACACACCAAAUUCUAAAAUCCCAUAAAAAAUUAAUAACUAAUUCUAUUCCAUUUCAAGAACACACACCCCAAAUGGGUCUAUCUUCAAUUCCAUCAAAAUGACAAAAUUAACAAUUAUUUCAACAAUUGGUGCAAUAGCUAAAAUAAAAUUUGGUGGUGGUGUUGCGUCGAUUGGAGGUGGACAGUGGCGGCGCCGCCUUCACCGGAGUUUGUCAGCGGCGGCGCUUCGCUUAAAUACGAUUUCCCGACGAUUGGAGCAUUGGUUUUGGAUGAUUUUUAUUGGGGUGUGCUCGCGUUGAGGUGGCGAACCUGUUGGGACUGGUCCGCGACACCAAAAUUCACCGGAGCUCCGGCGACAGCGACAAGCAGUGGUGGAUUCGCAAUUUGACGGCGGCGACGACGCCAACUUGGUUGAUUCAAGUUGAGUUGCUCACAUGAAUUUUUGGAAAUGUGAACAUAUUCAUGAAUCAAAAUCUGAUCCUUCUCCUCAAUUAAUCCGGAUUCCUGUGCUUUCAAAAAUGCUUCCAAAAGGAAAGAAAAAUGGAAAAUGGAAAGGAAAAUUCAAAGAAGAGAAUAUAUAUAUAUAUAUAUAUAUAUAUAUAUAUAUAUA
rnacentral:lncRNA from 1 species